rnacentral:rRNA from 1 species
GAUGAGCGCUGGCGGCGUGCUUAACACAUGCAAGUCGAACGGUGAAGCAGGAGCUUGCUCCUGUGGAUCAGUGGCGAACGGGUGAGUAACACGUGAGCAAUCUGCCCUGGACUCUGGGAUAAGCGUUGGAAACGACGUCUAAUACCGGAUACGAGGCGUGGGGGCAUCCGCAACGCCUGGAAAGAAUUUCGGUCCAGGAUGAGCUCGCGGCCUAUCAGGUAGUUGGUGAGGUAAUGGCUCAACAAGCCUACGACGGGUAGCCGGCCUGAGAGGGUGACCGGCGACACUGGGACUGAGACACGGCCCAGACUCCUACGGGAGGCAGCAGUGGGGAAUAUUGCACAAUGGGCGCAAGCCUGAUGCAGCAACGCCGCGUGAGGGACGACGGCCUUCGGGUUGUAAACCUCUUUUAGCAGGGAAGAAGCGAAAGUGACGGUACCUGCAGAAAAAGCACCGGCUAACUACGUGCCAGCCGCCGCCGUAAUAC